ACCUUAUCCAGAGCGGUGGAGGGAUCGGCCCUGUGAAACCGCGGCAACCCCCGUGCCUCAGAACACGGGAAGGUGCCAACUCCGGCGGAGCUUCGGCUCUGACAGAUAAGCU
rnacentral:ncRNA from 2 species